rnacentral:lncRNA from 1 species
UAUCCUCCAUUCGCGCCUCCAAGGCUUCGAAUUUAGCAUUGAUUGCCUCCUUAGAUGCCAUAGUAUAUGCCUCCAAAUCUAUAAUGUUAAGAUCUCUCUUUUGUUGUUAGGUUAAAGGCAUGUAUAGGUUGAGAGAAGUGAUGGUCGAAAGGGUUGGUGGAUCGGUGGAUGUAGGCUACGAUUUAGACUUGUUUUGUGGCAGUUUUGGGUGCAGUUUGAGGGUGUGGUUUAGUGGAGUUUUAGGGCUGUGGAUGAAAGUUUUGGAUCUGUGGUAUAUGGCAGCAAAGGUUUGAUAGAAAUAAGUGGAAGUUGCAGCAAGUAUGUGCUGUCUUGUAAGAGUAGAAUUAUCGUCGAAGAAACAAUGGUUUCUUGAUGUAAUUUCUACCAAAAAC